CUGCACCUGAUACUGACCUUGCGGUCCCCGGCCUCGUGGGCUGGGCCCCUGUGGCCCCUGGGUCCCUGAAGGUGCCAGAUUAACCGCAGCCCUGAGAUUUAAGCUCUGAGUGUGGAGAAGCACUCUGAUGUUAUGACUCAGUGGCACAGAC